rnacentral:rRNA from 1 species
GAUGAACGCUGGCGGCGUGCUUAACACAUGCAAGUCGAACGGAAAGGCCCCUGCUUGCCGGGGUCCUCGAGUGGCGAACGGGUGAGUAACACGUGGGUGAUCUGCCCUGCACUUCGGGAUAAGCCUGGGAAACUGGGUCUAAUACCGGAUAGGACGAUGGUUUGGAUGCCAUUGUGGAAAGUUUUUCGGUGUGGGAUGAGCUCGCGGCCUAUCAGCUUGUUGGUGGGGUAAUGGCCUACCAAGGCGUCGACGGGUAGCCGGCCUGAGAGGGUGUACGGCCACAUUGGGACUGAGAUGCGGCACAGACUCCUACGGGAGGCAGCAGUGGAGAAUAUUGCACAAUGGGCGCAAGCCUGGUGCAGCGACGCCGCGUGGGGGAUGACGGCCUUCGGGUUGUAAACUCCUUUCGCUAGGGACGAAGCGAAAGUGACGGUACCUGGAGAAGAAGCACCGGCUAACUACGUG